rnacentral:tRNA from 1 species
GCGAAAAUAGCUUAAUGGUAAAGUGUAACCAUGCCACGGUUAAUAUAGGAGUUCAAUUCUCCUUUUUCGCU